rnacentral:lncRNA from 1 species
AUUCUUGGUUAUUCUAUUAUUAAAAAUGUGACAUUCUGGUGUUAAGCUCCCACGACCAUAUUAUUUAAUUGUAUUAUUUAAAAUUACAAAAAAUAUAUAAGUAAUAUAUUUAUUUUAUUAAUUAAUUUUAAAUAAUGCUAUAAAAAAUUUUAACAUAUUUUUAGAAAAAAAAAGAGAGAGAAUAUAGGUUAGAGAGAGAGCAUAACUAAAGAAAUAGGGCGAGAGAUGGAGACAAGAUUAGAGAGAGGAAGAGAGUUGAGAUUUUAGAAAAAUAGGGGGAGAGAGAGCUAAUUAGUUUAGAGAAAAAAAAGAGUUAAACUUUAGAGAGAGGAAGAUAAGUUUAGAGAGAGGUAUGAGGUAAGAAUACUAAAGGAAAAUAAUAUCAAUUAGCUGACGAGUGGAGAGAGAGAAAAAGAUCAUAUUCUGAUUAUCUGAAUCUAUUAUUACGAGGAUAUCCAUCCUCCCUCAAAGAUAAGUUUAAAGAGAGGUAUGAGAUAAGAGUACUAAAGAAAAACAGUACCAACUAGUCGGUGGGUGGGGAGAAAGAAACAAUUAGACAUAUUAUGAUUAUCCGAAUCUAUUAAUAUGAGGAUAUCAGUUCUCCCUCAACGAAAUAAGAUUAGUAUUUUGGAAUGAAUCUCAUUCCCAAAUAACUCUAAUAUUAUCAACCAGAUUAUUUAAUGCGUUUAGCGAAAUACCGUCAUAUUUUUCAAUUUUUAUUGAAUUUUUUUUUAAGAACAAAAAUAAUUAUUAGGAAUUUUAAAGAGAUACUACAGACCAAACGCAUCCUUACUGCCACGAGCUACAAAUAUAU